rnacentral:tRNA from 1 species
GGAGAGGUGACAGAGCGGCCGAAUGUGCAGCACUGGAAAUGCUGUGUACUCUAACGGGUACCGUGGGUUCGAAUCCCACCCUCUCCG